AAUGUAGUCAGGAUAAGCAAGGGACCUCAUGGCCACCCAUACAAUUUCAGCUCCUCCUCUUAGCCAGACCAAGGAUGGGAGGAGACAGGGAAGUCAGAAGAGUCUCACGGCUGCUUAACACUGCAAUUUACACAACCUGCCUUACAGCCAUAGCUGUGUGUCCCAGGACCUACCACUGGACCUAUGAUAGGCUCUCUGCUCUGCUUCUCAAGCUCUGGGAUUAAAGGAACCACCU